UACGUAGGCAGCGAGCGUUGUUCGGAGUUACUGGGCGUAAAGGGUGUGUAGGCGGUUCCUUAAGUUUGUCGUGAAAUCUCCCGGCUCAACCGGGAGGGUGCGGCGAAUACUGAGGAGCUAGAGUGCGGGAGAGGAAAGUGGAAUUCCUGGUGUAGCGGUGAAAUGCGUAGAUAUCAGGAGGAACACCGGUGGUGUAGACGGCUUUCUGGACCGUAACUGACGCUGAGACACGAAAGCGUGGGUAGCAAACAGG
rnacentral:rRNA from 1 species